rnacentral:rRNA from 2 species
CGGCCCAAACUCCUACGGGAGGCAGCAGUAGGGAAUCUUCCACAAUGGACGAAAGUCUGAUGGAGCAACGCCGCGUGAGUGAAGAAGGGUUUCGGCUCGUAAAACUCUGUUGUUAAAGAAGAACAUAUCUGAGAGUAACUGUUCAGGUAUUGACGGUAUUUAACCAGAAAGCCACGGCUAACUACGUGCCAGCAGCCGCGGUAAUACGUAGGUGGCAAGCGUUGUCCGGAUUUAUUGGGCGUAAAGCGAGCGCAGGCGGUUUUUUAAGUCUGAUGUGAAAGCCUUCGGCUCAACCGAAGAAGUGCAUCGGAAACUGGGAAACUUGAGUGCAGAAGAGGACAGUGGAACUCCAUGUGUAGCGGUGAAAUGCGUAGAUAUAUGGAAGAACACCAGUGGCGAAGGCGGCUGUCUGGUCUGUAACUGACGCUGAGGCUCGAAAGUAUGGGUAGCAAACAGGAUUAGAUACCCUGGUAGUCCAUACCGUAAACGAUGAAUGCUAAGUGUUGGAGGGUUUCCGCCCUUCAGUGCUGCAGCUAACGCAUUAAGCAUUCCGCCUGGGGAGUACGGCCGCAAGGCUGAAACUCAAAGGAAUUGACGGGGGCCCGCACAAGCGGUGGAGCAUGUGGUUUAAUUCGAAGCUACGCGAAGAACCUUACCAGGUCUUGACAUACUAUGCAAAUCUAAGAGAUUAGACGUUCCCUUCGGGGACAUGGAUACAGGUGGUGCAUGGUUGUCGUCAGCUCGUGUCGUGAGAUGUUGGGUUAAGUCCCGCAACGAGCGCAACCCUUAUUAUCAGUUGCCAGCAUUAAGUUGGGCACUCUGGUGAGACUGCCGGUGACAAACCGGAGGAAGGUGGGGAUGACGUCAAAUCAUCAUGCCCCUUAUGACCUGGGCUACACACGUGCUACAAUGGAUGGUACAACGAGUUGCGAACUCGCGAGAGUAAGCUAAUCUCUUAAAGCCAUUCUCAGUUCGGAUUGUAGGCUGCAACUCGCCUACAUGAAGUCGGAAUCGCUAGUAAUCGCGGAUCAGCAUGCCGCGGUGAAUACGUUCCCGGGCCUUGUACACACCGCCCGUCACACCAUGAGAGUUUGUAACACCCAAAGUCGGUGGGGUAACCUUUUAGGAACCAGCCGCCUAAGGUGACAGA